ensembl:lncRNA novel transcript
AUCCUGGGCAGAAUGGAGUAGGACAGUGAAAGAUUUCGCCAACAUAUUCAGAAUAGCAUGCAAUUUAAAACUUAUUUUGAAGUUGGAAGAAGUGGCAAAAUGUGAAAAGCAAGAAGCAAGUAUUACCAGAGACACCUAUGAAAAAGAAAUCUUUCUGAAGAACAUUUUUAAAGUGCCAUAAUCUGUUCGGUAAGAAUGAAAUUAAUGCACAAAACUGAUAAAAAUGGACUACCUGGAUGUAGUUUCUGAAAUGGCAGGGUGAAUCCAAAGGCUGAAAGAGACUGAGUAACAGCUAUUAAGUAAGGUGAAAAUGUUAUUUUACAUGGAAACCUAUUUUGUUCCAUAAAACUAAAUAAACCAUAACCCAGAAGUGCAAUGAGACACACACAGCAUGACCACAUUAUUUCUGAAAGCUGAAGAGUUGCCAGUCUGUUGAUCUCAAACUUCAUGAACCACACAGUUCAGUUCAAAUUGUUUCCCUGAAAUUGCUUUGAGCCUCUGCCAAACAGCCACUGAAGGACUCCGAAAAAUACAAGAACUGAAAGGGGCACAUGGCAGAUACAAUCAUAAACUUUCAUUUCGGAGAGCAGUAAAAAAGGAGAAGAAGAACACACUGGUACUCCAACAAGUCAUAGUUUCUGCCAGAUGUUGCAAAAUUUCCCAUAGUCCUUAUGGUGCCUGACUGUCGUUAUCAACUUCUGACUCAUUCUAACACACUGCUUUACCUUGGCUGUAAGCUGGGAACCCUGCUAUCAGAAAUUCAUAUCAAAUGUCCACAGAAACCCAAUCAGCAACACUACUUUCAAAGUGUCUUUUGACAAGUAAUAUGUGCAUUUUACAAAUCCAAAGGCAAUAUUUGAAGUAGCUCUUCAAAACAGCUGCAUUACUCAAAGCUAUCUCUGUAUCAUCGCCUUGUUUCCUGGAAGAAAAUGUGGAAAUGUGUACUGAAAAUGUGUAAAUGAUUAAAGCAUCAGUAUAAAGAAAAAACAUUCUGAAGAUGAAUAAAAA